ACACGCUGGCGGCGUGCUUAACACAUGCAAGUCGAACGGUGAUCCAGGGCUUGCUCUGGUGAUCAGUGGCGAACGGGUGAGUAACACGUGGGCAACCUGCCCCUGACUUUGGGAUAACUCCUCGAAAGAGGGGCUAAUACCAGAUACGACCACUUCGGGCAUCCGAUGGUGGUGGAAAGUUUUUCGGUCAGGGAUGGGCCCGCGGCCUAUCAGCUAGAUGGUGGGGUAGUGGCCUACCAUGGCGACGACGGGUAGCUGGUCUGAGAGGAUGAUCAGCCACACUGGGACUGAGACACGGCCCAGACUCCUACGGGAGGCAGCAGUGGGGAAUAUUGGGCAAUGGAGGAAACUCUGACCCAGCGACGCCGCGUGCGGGAUGAAGGCCUUCGGGUUGUAAACCGCUUUCAGCAGGGAAGAAGCGAAAGUGACGGUACCUGCAGAAGAAGCACCGGCUAACUAUGUG
rnacentral:rRNA from 1 species